GGAAUAUCAGAUUACACGACUAUG
rnacentral:siRNA from 1 species